AACGCACGAGACCUGCGGACCUGCGGAAGGAUCAUUACUGAAUUGAUUUUGGGGAUGUUGCUGGUCUCUUGAGGCAAUGGUGCACUCCCUCAAACAUUUCACAAUUUCCAUCUUACCCAUGUGCACAUCCUGUAGGUGGUCUCCCAACCCACCCUCCAAGGAAAGGGGGGGAGUGUGUGGGUCUGGUCUCCUAUGUAUUUCCUUGCCAACAUCACACGUUUUGAUUGAAUGAAUCCUGUG
rnacentral:misc_RNA from 1 species